AACGAACGCUGGCGGCGUGCCUAACACAUGCAAGUCGAACGAGAAAGGGGCUUCGGCCCUGAGUAAAGUGGCGCACGGGUGAGUAACACGUAGGUAACCUGCCUCUAAGGUCGGGAUAACCUGUCGAAAGACGAGCUAAUACCGGAUAAGACUACAGCUUCUGCGGGAGCCGGGGUCAAAGGUAGCCUAUGCUUGCAAGCUAUCACUUAGAGAUGGGCCUGCGUACCAUUAGCUAGUUGGUAGGGUAACGGCCUACCAAGGCAAAGAUGGUUAGCUGGUCUGAGAGGAUGAUCAGCCACACUGGAACUGAGACACGGUCCAGACUCCUACGGGAGGCAGCAGUGGGGAAUAUUGCGCAAUGGGCGAAAGCCUGACGCAGCAACGCCGCGUGAGUGAUGAAGGCC
rnacentral:rRNA from 1 species